rnacentral:lncRNA from 1 species
GAUUGUGUAUGAAAUUGUUGUCACCGUGCAUCAGGGCGAUUCGGUGAAAUUGUUGUCACUGUGCGUACGUCUGACAGCAGUGUUGGACACCUAUGUAUAAGAUGAGUAUCUUAUAAAUGCAUUUCAGUGAGAAUUUGUGCAGACUUUGCAAGUUUGUUUGUUUUUCAACACGGAACGGAACUGCUAGCGCCCGGACGUCCGAACGUCCGAUCCGAGCGCUAGCGGUCGGACCCUUCCUCAUGUCACCUAUCAUCCGAAGUUAAUCUAAUUCCCACCGCAACAUCAGGUAAUGUUUCAUGCAAUAUUUUAUCAAAAAUUCGCACAGGAGCAAACUGAAAAUAUUUCCAACACAGCAUCAAUGUUUCACGCAACAUCCUGCAAGAAUCACCUGUUUUUGUCUUGUUUAAUGCAUCAUCCGCAGUGAAAAAUCUCCCCCGCUUUCAUGUAAAGCCAACAAAACGGUUGCAACAAAUUAAAUUCAUGUGUGUGACAUGCAAAAAUUCAUGUAAAGCCAACAAAAGUAAUUCUGAGAAAGGUUGCAGUGACCCUGUAGGCCAUAAGCCUCCCCAGGACCGCCUCGCUCCAAUCAGCCUCUACUUUCUAGGAAUCGUUACAUACCGACGGAGCUUGCCGUGCGCUGCCCCACCAUUGCAAACUGGUGUUCACCGUGCACUACCCCACCUCCAAGAGCUCCGCAGCAGGGAACCGCCUCCACCACAUGGGUCUCCAGCAAACGCCACCGGCCUCUGUCCUCCCGUCGGACUCCAUAGGAGAGGAAGAGCAAACAUGAAUAUGACGAAGAUGAAAUGGAGCUUGCAGAUGUAACUGAUCUAGGGAAAUGGAAUGCAGGCACAAAGGAUAAACUCACCUAGAGGUUUUGUGGCCUUAUUCAUCUUCCUCUGAUUCGCUCUCUCCGCUUGAUUCGCGUCGAUUGGUCCGCGGUCGUCGCCUGGUGCCAUCGCAGCAGCCUUGGAGAGCCAUGCUCACCGAGCGCAGGUGCGUGAGGGCACUCCCCUUCUCCUCCAUCUCGCUCGAUUUUUCGCCACCGCCGGCCUCGGGUGGGAAGCAGGAACGACUCCGCGGGCGGCGAGAUCCGCACAUGUCAAGCGCGAGUGCGCGACGCCCCCUGCUCCUCCGCCGCCCUUCUUGCCGGCUUCUCGCCGCACAUGUCAAGCGUGAGUGCGCGACGCCCCUUGCAUCUCCGGCUCGCUUGUGCAGCCAACGCCGCCCUUCUCGCCGGCUCCGGCGAUCGCAUCAGCUUGGAGCAGGAUUCACGGUGGGGAGGAGGAAGGAGGCGAGGAGGCGUGUGCGAAAUGGAAAUGACGUGUCGUGGAAGGAAGCGCCAGACGGAUAAGGUCAUUG